GCCUUUCCCACCACCCAUUGUGCCGCGCCAAGGGCCGCAUCGGCCAUCCCCUGAUCGUAUGCAGGGAUGGAGGAUGUUCUGCGCACCUGCACUGGUCCAGGAACCAACAAAAGUUGAUAAAUCUUGGCUGCUGGUAGCUGCAAAUUAAAGGAGAGAGCAGGUAUGUACGUUGACACGCACACGAGGUGUCGGUCUGCCGGUGAUGGAAGCCGCUGCCGUCUGCCUAGUCCCAGCUAGCUACAAAAAGGGGUUGUGUUGAGUCAUUGAGACUUUGAGAGAGAAAGGGAGAGAGAGGCAGGGGGGGUUCUAACGUUUGGUACCUGCUGGUGAUGUGCAGCGGUGGUGCGGCUGGUCCAGAUCCGGGAGCCACCGUCGCCGUGGUGACAGGAGAGAGUGCAAGGUGACUGCACUGCAGGCAGGUGAGGAGGCGACGAGAGCUGUGCUGCUAACCGCGAGGUGGAGCACCAGGGUCGGGAGUGGGAGCGCCGGUGGUGAGAAGAGAUGAAGCGGUGGAUAGCGACAGUGCGAAAGAGAGAGUGAGCUUAGUGAGUGUUUAGCCCUCAAACGGAUCUGAUCAAGUAGUACAUUGGAUGCUCACUGUUAUCUAAGUAAUUAGCUAUUAACAGUGCACACCGGGGUAGCUGUCAUCAGUUACAAGGCGCUGGCCGGCACAAGCGCACAAGGACAUGCCAUG
rnacentral:lncRNA from 1 species